GUUUGCUUUAAAACGUAUUUGCAAAAUAUGCAUGUUUCUACCCCUUUCACAUUCUCUCUCCCAUCAAGACUAAAUAUGCAGGGGAAAAGAUGUGUCCUCUGGAAGGGGCAGUUGGGUCAGGCUGUAAUCUGUCCCCAGUGUUGGCAGUGGGCUGACAGGUCUGGCUGCAGGAGAUCCUGGGGUACUUACUACCAUCCAUCAAACACGGGAAAGGACCACUUCACAUGUCCAAAUGGGGCAGGAUGUUGUCAAAUUCCUCUGCGGCUGUAUGGCUUUUGUGUGGGAAGCUGUUUGACAGAAGGGAAUGGAGUCACACAGCAAAGUGUCUUUUGAGUGUAAGGAGAGAAAAUACCACCACCACCAUGACAACAAAAUAAAGAACAGCCUACAUUCUCUUAGCCCAAAUAGGAUUUAAAGCCACAGAAAGCAACUGAAGAAGAAAGAGGAGAAGAAGAAGGAGGAGGAGGAGGAGGAGGAGGAGAAGGAGGAGGAAGAGGAAGAGGGGGAGGAGGAAGUUGUGCUAGGAAUAAUCCCUGGUUAAGAGAAAACAAAAUAGUGAUUUUUUAAAAUGAGAUAAAUGUAGUCAAGUGUCAGCCUUUGCCAACAAAAUCCUUGUCUAAGUGCUCAGAAAUAUUCCGUUAUUCAUCUAAUUUAUUGUUCUGUUCUAUUGAAGCCUCCUUUCUCCUGAAAUACCUAUGCUGAAAAUGAUGAAAAAGUGAUAUUAGUCAGCUGAAUUAUAUUCUUCAAAUUCUAAGUAUUAGAAAGGGUUUACUAGGUAGUCAGGACACUGUGCUAAGGGUCACUUAAAUGUCUUAUCCUCUAGGGGCACCUGGGUGGCUCGGUCCUUGGGUGUCUGCCUUCGGCUUGGGUCAUGCUC